CGUGUAGGCGGUUUCUUAAGCCUGAUGUGAAAGCCCUGGGCUCAACCCAGGAAGUGCAUUGGAUACUGGGAGACUUGAAUGCGGGAGAGGGUAGUGGAAUUCCUAGUGUAGGAGUGAAAUCCGUAGAUAUUAGGAGGAACACCGGUGGCGAAGGCGGCUACCUGGACCGAUAUUGACGCUGAGACGCGAAAGCGUGGGGAGCAAACAGGAUUAGAUACCCUGGUAGUCCACGCCGUAAACGAUGAGAACUAGGUGUUGCGGGUAUUGACCCCUGCAGUGCCGCAGCUAACGCAUUAAGUUCUCCGCCUGGGAAGUACGGUCGCAAGACUAAA
rnacentral:rRNA from 1 species